rnacentral:rRNA from 1 species
CAGCAGCCGCCGCGGGAAUACAGAGGGUGCGAGCGUUAAUCGGAUUUACUGGGCGUAAAGCGUGCGUAGGCGGCUUUUUAAGUCGGAUGUGAAAUCCCUGAGCUUAACUUAGGAAUUGCAUUCGAUACUGGGAAGCUAGAGUAUGGGAGAGGAUGGUAGAAUUCCAGGUGUAGCGGUGAAAUGCGUAGAGAUCUGGAGGAAUACCGAUGGCGAAGGCAGCCAUCUGGCCUAAUACUGACGCUGAGGUACGAAAACAUGGGGAGCAAACAGGAUUAGAUACCCCAGUAGUCCCUGUCUCUUAUAA